AUAGUAACGUGCAUAUCGCGUCAUGGUUUAAUGUGUCUCUGCUAAAACGGAUGAAAUACUAUUUCUGGAAGAUUCUAAGAAUCUUCUGAAUACCGAAUCGAUAAAUUUAGCAACGCGCUGAAAUGAUAAAAAACUAUUCCUGGAAGAUACAAUUAACGAUCCUUAAAAUAAUUCGAGGUUUUUUGCAACACGCCUUAAGUUCUUUGCUGUCACGUUAACACACGUGGUUUAAUUCGUGGAAAAAAAACCCAGCCAGAGUUCAAUCUUGUGAAUCUGGAAAGGGAGAAAGGUUGGAUCAUUCGGCGACGGAGCUAGCUUUGCCGGUAAUGGGGCUGUUAGGCAAUUGGAGGCCGCGGAUAGUCACCGGAGGAAGAUGGCAAGAUAUGGCAUUCCAUCGGCCAAGAAGCGUGGCAAAUUCAAGGACAACCAAGCACCACCACUGGAAAACCGCGGAAACGCCACAGCGUCAAACAGGAGUUGGAUCGCGCGACCGUGGCCAAACUCAGUGUUUGUGGUAAAUUGUGUUACAACGGCAGCUUCAAGAUAGCAUGUUUGAAAUAAAAAAAUGUGUAAAAUAA